rnacentral:rRNA from 1 species
CGGGAGGCAGCAGUAGGGAAUCUUCGGCAAUGGACGAAAGUCUGACCGAGCAACGCCGCGUGAGUGAAGAAGGUUUUCGGAUCGUAAAACUCUGUUGGUAGAGAAGAACGUUGGUGAGAGUGGAAAGCUCAUCAAGUGACGGUAACUACCCAGAAAGGGACGGCUAACUACGUGCCAGCAGCCGCGGUAAUACGUAGGUCCCGAGCGUUGUCCGGAUUUAUUGGGCGUAAAGCGAGCGCAGGUGGUUUAUUAAGUCUGGUGUAAAAGGCAGUGGCUCAACCAUUGUAUGCAUUGGAAACUGGUAGACUUGAGUGCAGGAGAGGAGAGUGGAAUUCCAUGUGUAGCGGUGAAAUGCGUAGAUAUAUGGAGGAACACCGGUGGCGAAAGCGGCUCUCUGGCCUGUAACUGACACUGAGGCUCGAAAGCGUGGGGAGCAAACAGG